CCUACGGGUGGCAGCAGUCGAGAAUCAUUCACAAUGGGGGAAACCCUGAUGGUGCGACGCCGCGUGCGGGAAUGAAGGUCUUCGGAUUGUAAACCCCUGUCAUGUGGGAGCAAAUCAAAAAGAUAGUACCACAAGAGGAAGAGACGGCUAACUCUGUGCCAGAAGCCGCGGUAAUACAGAGGUCUCAAGCGUUGUUCGGAAUCACUGGGCGUAAAGCGUGCGUAGGCUGUUUCGUAAGUCGUGUGUGAAAGGCGCGGGCUCAACCCGCGGACGGCACAUGAUACUGCGGGACUAGAGUAAGGGAGGGGGAACCGGAAUUCGCGGUGUAGCAGUGAAAUGCGUAGAUAUCGAGAGGAACACUCGUGGCGAAGGCGGGUUCCUGGACAUUAACUGACGCUGAGGCACGAAGGCCAGGGGAGCGAAAGGGAUUAGAUACCCCUGUAGUC
rnacentral:rRNA from 1 species